rfam:Felis catus isolate Cinnamon breed Abyssinian chromosome B3, whole genome shotgun sequence.
GCCUGGCUGGCUCAAUCAGUGGAGCAUAUGAUUCUUGAUUGUGGGGUUGUGGGUUCGAGCCCCACGGUGGGUG